rnacentral:rRNA from 1 species
AUGAACGCUGGCGGCGUGCCUAAUACAUGCCAGUCGAGCGAACAGAUAAGGAGCUUGCUCCUUUGACGUUAGCGGCGGACGGGUGAGUAACACGUGGAUAACCUACCUAUAAGACUGGGAUAACUUCGGGAAACCGGAGCUAAUACCGGAUAACAUAUUGAACCGCAUGGUUCAAUAGUGAAAGGCGGCUUUGCUGCCACUUAUAGAUGGAUCCGCGCCGUAUUAGCUAGUUGGUAAGGUAACGGCUUACCAAGGCAACGAUACGUAGCCGACCUGAGAGGGUGAUCGGCCACACUGGAACUGAGACACGGUCCAGACUCCUACGGGAGGCAGCAGUAGGGAAUCUUCCGCAAUGGGCGAAAGCCUGACGGAGCAACGCCGCGUGAGUGAUGAAGGUCUUCGGAUCGUAAAACUCUGUUAUCAGGGAAGAACAAAUGUGUAAGUAACUGUGCACAUCUUGACGGUACCUGAUCAGAAAGCCACGGCUAACUACGUG